rnacentral:rRNA from 1 species
AAAAGUACGUGAAAUUGUUGAAAGGGACUUGUUUAUGACCAGACUUGGGCUUGGUUAAUCAUCUGGGGUUCUCCCCAGUGCACUUUUCCAGUCCAGGCCAGCAUCAGUUUUCGCCGGGGGAUAAAGGCUUCGGGAAUGUGGCUCUCUCCGGGGAGUGUUAUAGCCCGUUGCGUAAUACCCUGGCGGGGACUGAGGUUCGCGCAUCUGCAAGGAUGCUGGCGUAAUGGUCAUCAACGACCCGUCUUGAAACACGGACCAAGACC